GAAAAAGAAGAGAGAAAAUUCUAGUUCUUUUUAAUGGUUUGGAUAAAACAAAAGUAGUUGAAAAAUAUAGUAUCUUUGGUUGUACUUUGAAGUUUGUUCAAUUCACAAGGGUGAUUGAGCAAUUAUUAAAUAAGUUAAACGAGAGCAAGCAAUGUCUGCAACAGGGAGUUCCAGUUUGCCGGAACCGGAGUCCUACCGGCAUCUCGUCAAGGAGGUGAGAAGUCACGAGGUUGCUAUAGCUGAGCUCAGUAACCUUCCUGAUUCUAGGGCUGUCUACCAGAGAAAUGGCAAUCUAUUCUUCCGUACAACUGCUGAGAAAGCAACAAUGUCAGAACAAAAACAAGUGGACAUGGUCAAAUCUAAGUUACAAAAAUUAAGCUCCUAACGAGUCAACAAGUUCCAUUCAGCUUAAGAGGUUGGAAAGAGAGUGAUUCUUUUGCUUAAUUUCUCUAAAGUAGG
rnacentral:misc_RNA from 1 species